CCUACGGGGGGCAGCAGUUUGGAAUUUUGCACAAUGGGCGAAAGCCUGAUGCAGCGACGCCGCGUGGACGAUGAAGGCCUUCGGGUUGUAAAGUCCUUUUGCCACCGAACAAUAUUUUGAGCGUAGGUGGAGAAUAAGAGGUUGCUAACUCUGUGCCAGCAGCAGCGGUAAUACAGAGACCUCAAGCGUUAUCCGGAAUCAUUGGGCGUAAAGCGUACCGACAGGUGGCUUUACAAGUCAGAAGUGAAAUCUUUAAGCUUAACUUAGAGAAUGUCUUUUGAAACUGUAAAGCUAGAGGGGCAAAGAGGAAGCUGGAACCAGCGGUGUAGUAGUGAAAUGCGUUGAUAUCGCUGGGAACACCAAUAGCGUAGGCAGGCUUCUGGGUGCCUCCUGACACUGCUAGGACGAAAGCGUGGGGAGCGAUAAGGAUUAGAUACCCCAGUAGUC
rnacentral:rRNA from 1 species